CUCAGCUACCAUCAGGUAGAUGUCUUCUUUUUAUAGACAUAUACGUCUGCUUGGCAUCUGAGAUCACUCACUGAUGUACCAGGGCCAAAUUUAGUUGUGUACAGACUUCCUAGGAAGCUAUGCCUUUCACUUUUUCUCCAUAAGCGAUUCUAUGUGCAGUUGCAAGCUCACAGACUACAGCUCCAUAAGCCAUUCUAUGUGCAGUUGCGAGCUCACAGACUACAGCAAAGUGGUUUCGUACAGGAGCCUGGAGGGAUGGUAGGAAAAACUGCAGCAAUCAAAACGUAUCCCACAUGCGAUGAUGUUGAUACUUGAUAUGUGAAUGUGUAUGAGGUGGAAAAGAAAUUGAUGGUUGAGGGCUUUAUCACUUUCAAUGCAGAAAAACUGGGGGACUAGAUUUAGUAGCAAACAGUUUAUGGUUUGGCUGGUUUCAAGCUUCUCAAUUUUGGUGCAUUGGGAAUCAAGAAUUUUGGGUUUAUGUGGCAUAUGAUGAGUACCGGGAACGCAAUGAUCCAUUACCAAUUUGUAUUGCUGAUGACGACGACCCAAACGAAUAUUUAGUGUAUGAAGAACCAACAGAUGAUGCAGCAGAGGCUGGGAGAUUAACGCUGGCGGUCUUUACAUUACGCUUAUAUACUGGACAAAAUCCAGUCGACAACAUUAAAGACGCGGGUUCAUUAAAUUCCAACACAACUUAUAUGUAAGACACCCAAAUGGAGUUCCUGGAAACUGUGACCCUAUUGGGCAUUAAUGGGACCUGUAGUUAUCAACUUUUGAUUUUUUUAACUAACAUUUUGUCGAUUUUUUUAA